UACGGGGGGGGCAAGCGUUGUUCGGAAUUACUGGGCGUAAAGGGCUCGUAGGCGGCCAACUAAGUCAGACGUGAAAUCCCUCGGCUUAACCGGGGAACUGCGUCUGAUACUGGAUGGCUCGAGUUUGGGAGAGGGAUGCGGAAUUCCAGGUGUAGCGGUGAAAUGCGUAGAUAUCUGGAGGAACACCGGUGGCGAAGGCGGCAUCCUGGACCAAUACUGACGCUGAAUAGCGAAAGCCAGGGGAGCAAACAGG
rnacentral:rRNA from 1 species